CAAUCAAACCGGGAGAUAGCUGGUUCUCCCCGAAAGCUAUUUAGGUAGCGCCUCGUGAAUUCAUCUCCGGGGGUAGAGCACUGUUUCGGCUAGGGGGCCAUCCCGGCUUACCAACCCGAUGCAAACUGCGAAUACCGGAGAAUGUUAUCACGGGAGACACACGGCGGGUGCUAACGUCCGUCGUGAAGAGGGAAACAACCCAGACCGCCAGCUAAGGUCCCAAAGUCAUGGUUAAGUGGGAAACGAUGUGGGAAGGCCCAGACAGCCAGGAUGUUGGCUUAGAAGCAGCCAUCAUUUAAAGAAAGCGUAAUAGCUCACUGGUCGAGUCGGCCUGCGCGGAAGAUGUAACGGGGCUAAACCAUGCACCGAAGCUGCGGCAGCGAACGUAUCACCCAAGACAACUUUACGGAGUUGACGAUUGACGGAGCGAAGCGACGUCAAAGCGUUCAUUAAAGUCGAGUUGGCUUAGGGAUACGUUCGUUGGGUAGGGGAGCGUUCUGUAAGCCUGUGAAGGUGUGUCGUGAGGCAUGCUGGAGGUAUCAGAAGUGCGAAUGCUGACAUAAGUAACGAUAAAGCGGGUGAAAAGCCCGCUCGCCGGAAGACCAAGGGUUCCUGUCCAACGUUAAUCGGGGCAGGGUGAGUCGACCCCUAAGGCGAGGCCGAAAGGCGUAGUCGAUGGGAAACGGGUUAAUAUUCCCGUACUUGGUGUUACUGCGAAGGGGGGACGGAGAAGGCUAUGUUGGCCGGGCGACGGUUGUCCCGGUUUAAGCGUGUAGGUGUGUGUUCCAGGUAAAUCCGGUUCACUUUAACACUGAGGCGUGACGACGAGGCACUACGGUGCUGA
rnacentral:rRNA from 1 species